ACGUAGGGUGCAAGCGUUGUCCGGAAUUAUUGGGCGUAAAGAGCUCGUAGGCGGUUUGUCGCGUCUGCUGUGAAAACCUGAGGCUCAACCUCAGACCUGCAGUGGGUACGGGCAAGCUAGAGUGCGGUAGGGGAGAUGGGAAUUCCUGGUGUAGCGGUGGAAUGCGCAGAUAUCGGGAGGAACACCAAUGGCGAAGGCAGGUCUCUGGGCCAAUACUGACACUGAGGAGCGAAAGUCUGGGGAGCGAACAGGAUUAGAUACCCUGGUAGUCCAGACCGUAAACGGUGGGCACUAGUUGUGGGAACCUUCCACGGUUUCUGCGACGCAGCUAACGCAUUAAGUGCCCCGCCUGGGGAGUACGAUCGCAAGAUUA
rnacentral:rRNA from 1 species